UAACAGGAAACCUAAGGGCGUACGGUGGAUGCCUUGGCUUGAAGAGGCGAAGAAAGACGUGGCACGACUGCGAAAAGCUUCGGGGAGGUGUCUAGCAACCUUUGAUCCGGAGAUGUCUGAAUGGGGAAACCCGUCCGAGUAAACCUCGGUCACCCCGCCUAGGCGGGGAGCAAACCCAGGGAAUUGAAACAUCUUAGUACCUGGAGGAAAAGAAACCAAUAUGCGGAUUUUUUACUGUGUUGGCGAUGUUUGCCGAUACGGUAAAAAAUCCUGGCAUUUCCUUAGUAGCGGCGAGCGAAACGGAAGAAGCCCAAACCAGUUCUUUCGGGAACUGGGGUUGUAGGGUAGUGACUUCUUAACGAGAAGAGUCAAAAAAUGUAUUUGUUAGUGGAACGUGCUGGAAAGUGCGGCCCCAGAGGGUAAUAGCCCCGUACAUGAAAACAAAUACGUCUCUUUUGUCACUAUUCCUGAGUAGCGUGGGACAUGAAUAGCCUGCGUGAAUCCGGGUGGACUAACACCCAAGGCUAAAUACUCUUCAAGACCGAUAGUGAACUAGUACCGUGAGGGAAAGGUGAAAAGAACCCCGGCGAGGGGAGUGAAAUAGAUCUGAAACCGUAUGCUUACAAGGAGUCGGAGCGGAUAUACGCAAGUAUAAUCCGUGACGGCGUGCCUAUUGAAGAAUGAGCCGGCGAGUUUGCGCAUGCGGCUUGGCUAAGGGGAGACCCCCGGAGCCACAGCGAAAGCGAGUGUGAAUAGCGCGACCUAUAGGUCGUACGCGCAAGACCCGAAGCUAGGUGAGCUUGCCAUGGGCAGGUUGAAGCGGCUGUAACAAGCCGUGGAGGACCGAACCGGUUGGUUGUACAACGCCAUCGGAUGACCUGUGGUAGGGAGUGAAAAGCUAAUCGAACCUAGCAAUAGCUGGUUCUCUCCGAAAUAGUUUUAGGACUAGCGUCAUGUGUUCCUACUGGGGGUAGAGCACUGGAAGGUCUGAAUAGGGAGAAAUCUCGUCAGACCUAUCAAACUCCGAAUACCAGUAGUUUAUAGCGUGGCAGUCAGAACGUGGGGGCUAAGCUCCACUGUUCAAAAGGGAAACAGCCCAGAUCGCCAGUUAAGGUCCCUAAAUCCAUACUCAGUGCAUUUUAAGGAGGUGAAAUUUCUGUGACAAUCAGGAGGUUGGCUUAGAAGCAGCCAUCCUUUAAAGAUAGCGUAACAGCUCACUGAUCCAGAGAUUUUGCGCCGAAGAUAAUCGGGGCUAAAGUAUGGUACCGAAACUGCGGAUGUCGUACGCAUCACAUUGCAUGUGAUGCGAAGUUAAAAGUAAAAAGUGUAGAGUUUAUAAAGUAAAAACGAAAAACGUCGUAACUUUUAACUUUCAACUUUUAAACUUUCAACUUACGUAUCGCGCGUAGCGUGAUGUGUACGGCGUGGUAGGAGAGCGUUCCAUUCUGCAAUGAAGCCAAAGGGGUAACCCAUGGUGGAGCGUAUGGAAGUGAGAAUGCCGGCGCGAGUAACCGCAAUGCAGGUGAGAUCCCUGCACGUCGAAAUCCCGAGGUUUCCUUGGCCAUGUUUAUCAGCCAAGGGUUAGUCGGGCCUAAGGGGAUCCUGAAAAGGGGACCCGAUGGACAGAUGGUUAAUAUUCCAUCACCUCUGCAUAUUGCGAAGGGGGGACGGAGUGUUGUACCUUACGCGAUUUAUUGACUUAUCGUCCGUGCUGUGAGGAUGGUGUUUAGGAAAAUCCGGACACCUCUGUUUAAUCAGAAAUCCAAGCAGAGCGGGAAGCUGGCGGCUUCGGCCAACGGCAAUGUAAGGGAGCACGCUUCCAAGAAAAGCCUCUAAGCUCUAGAUAUGUAGAGACCGUACCUAAACCGACACAGGUGGGAAGGUCGAGAAGACUAAGACGAACGAGUGAUUUCUCCCCAAGGAACUCGGCAAAAAAGCGGCCGUAACUUAGGGAUAAGGCCUGCCCCCACCACUUGUGGUGGGGGCCGCAGCGAAAGUUUGCCUGGCGACUGUUUACCAAAAACACAGCUCUCUGCGAACUCGUAAGAGGAUGUAUAGAGGGUGACACCUGACCAAUGCCAGAAGGUUAAAUAUUGUUGGUAACGUAUCACAUUGCAUGUGAUACUGAGUAAAAAGUAAAAAGUGUAAAGUUUAUAAAGUAAAAACGAAAAACGUCGUAACUUUUAACUUUCAACUUUAAAACUUUUAACUUAAGUAUCGUGCGCAGCGUGAUACGUUGCUGGACGAUAUAAGCCCUGGUCAAUGUCAGCGAUAACUAUAAUCGUUCUAAGGUUUGUUACAUGUCAUUCGUGAUGUGUAACAAAGGACUGGAACGAUUAUAGAGUGGGUAAACAGGAGUACAGACAGUACAUUACACCAUACAACAAGGCUACCUUUAUACUUGGUAACGAGUAUAUUGUCCGCCCACGGCCAACUAGAGACCAUACGCCGUGCUCCUCACCAUUAAGGUGUUGGGGAUGAAGAUAUGGCCCUUCGUAGAGGAAUAGAAGAGCGAAAUUCCUUGUCGGGUAAGUUCCGACGCGCACGAAUGGUGUAACGACUGGGCAACUGUCUCGGGGAGUAGCUCGGUGAAAACGCAAUACCGGUAAAGAUGCCGGUUACCCGCGGUUAGACAGAAAGACCCCGUGGAGCUUUACUGCAGCUUCGUAUUGGAUCUGUGUGUUUAUUGCGUAGAAUAGGUGGGAGACUUUGAAGCGGCCCUUUUGGGGGUUGUGGAGUCGACAGUGAAAUACCACUCUAUAAAUGUGCAGGUUCUAACCUACAUGGACAUAAAACCCAUGAGAGACAGUGCGUGGCAGGCAGUUUUACUGGGGCGGUACCCUCCUAAAGAGUAACGGAGGGGUUCAAAGGUUAGCUAGGCGCGAAUGGAAACCGUGCCGAUAGUGUAAGAGCAUAAGCUAGCUUGACUGCAAGGGGUACAUCCCGAGCAGGUGCGAAAGCAGAAUCUAGUGAACCGACAGUUCGCAUUAGAUGCGGCUGGAGAUUAACGGAUAAAAGUUACCCCGGGGAUAACAGGCUAGUUCCGCCCAAGCGUCCAAAGCGACGGCGGAGUUCGGCACCUCGAUGUCGGCUCACCACAUCCUGGGGCUGGAGAAGGUCCCAAGGGUACGGCUGUUCGCCGUUUAAAGUGGUACGCGAGCUGGGUUCAAACCGUUCAGAGGUUGAAUCCGCCAGUUGGCGAAUUGACAAUUGAACAGUUUGAACCCGCAUAGAGAGUUUUAGUUUUUCUGUCUUAUAAAGUGUCUAUACAUUUCACCAGCGGUGGUGAUUCAUGUAUAUACAAAAAGUGUAGAGAACAACCUUAUUACGGCGGUCCCUAAAACACUAUCAAGGAUAGUGUUCGGGUUUAAAGUUGACUAAAAUCGGUGAAACCCGACCAGACAUAUGUCUGAGGGCAAUACCGAGGGAACCAAGUCCUAACAAAGUUAGAACUUGGACCUGUAGAGACUGAACGUCGACUACCCCCCACCACUUUUCUAAAAAAAGUGGUGGGGGGGAAAGUUACAGUCCAUCCCAUAUGGAAACAUGUGAAAAGGAGCGUGAGACAGGUUGGUUCUCUAUCUACCGUGGGCGUUGAUUCUUGAGGAGAUUUGUCCCUAGUACGAGAGGACCGGGAUGAACUGACCUCUGGUCUAUCGGCUGUAGCGUCAGCUGCACUGCCGAGUAGCUAAGUUGGGAAUGGAUAACCGCUGAAAGCAUCUAAGCGGGAAGCCAACUCCAAGAUAAGGAAUCAUUUGAGACCCGUAGGAGACUACUACGUUGAUAGGCACCAGGUGGAAGUACAGUAAUGUAUUAAGCCGAGGUGUACUAAUUCGUCGAGUUUCCUGUUAGG
rnacentral:rRNA from 1 species